GCCAAUUGAAAAUCUUAUUUUUGAAGGAGGUUUAAUAACAUAAGAAGAUUUUUAAGAUAAUAUUGGGGGAAGGAGAGCAAAUUUUAUAUGAAAGCAUAAUUCAUAUGUAAUAUGCAUAGCAAACAUUUAUAGAGAAUAAUAUCAAAUAUUGGUGAGGAGAUGGAGAAACCAUAUUUCAUACACUUAGAGUUGCAUUUUAAAUUGAUGUAGCCAUUUGAGAGGAAAAAUGGCAGUAUCAAAAUUUAAAAUCUUUUGACCCAACAAUUUCACUUCAUGGUAUCUUUCUUAAAUGUUUGCUUGUGCAUGGGAGGCAAUUCUUAGGAUGAUCUUUGAAGCACUGUGUAUAAUGCUUUGAAGCAUUUUGAAACAAUCUAAAUGUUAAUCCGUUUAGAAUUAAAUAAAUUGGAAUUAAUUAAAUGAUUAUGUCCACAUUGUGGUCUAUUAUAUAGCAAAUGAAAAGAAUGAGGUAUAGACAUGGAAAAAACGGAUCCCAAGACAGUCUACAUGAAAAAAGGAAGUUACAGAGAAGAAUAUGUGUGAUAUGCCAUUUGUUUAAAAAAAAAAAACUGAUAUAUCAAUUCAUAUGUGAUAUACAUACAUGUUUAAAAAAAAACAAACCUCUUAGAUACACAGAAAACUAGUCACAGUGAUUAUCUCUCAAAGGAGAAAUGGAAUUGAGAGUAGUGAUAGAGGUCUGGGCUGGGUGCAGUGACCCACACCUGUAAUCCCAGCACUUUGGAAGGCUGAGAUAGGAGGAUGGCUUGAGCCCAGGAUUUCGACACCAGCCUGGGCGACAUAGUGAGACCCUGUAUCUACAAAAAAUACAAAAAAAAAAGAAAAGAAGUCUGUAAUAUUUAUUUGUAAUGUUUGGAGUUUUUAGCCUCACAGUGGAUUUGAUAAAUUAUUUAUAGAAUUGAAAAUAAAUUUGAAAAUAUUUACUUGUGCAGA
rnacentral:lncRNA from 10 species